rnacentral:rRNA from 1 species
UGCGCCGAAGAUGUAACGGGGCUCAAGCCACGAGCCGAAGCUUAGGGCGCAGCAAUGCGCGGUAGCGGAGCGUUCCAUAAGCCUGUGAAGGGCGACCCGUGAGGGCGCCUGGAGGUAUUGGAAGUGAGAAUGCUGGCAUAAGUAACGACAAACAGUGUGAGAGACACUGUCGCCGUAAGUCCAAGGGUUCCUGCGUAAAGUUAAUCUGCGCAGGGUUAGCCGGUCCCUAAGGCGAGGCCGAGAGGCGUAGUCGAUGGGAACCACGUUAAUAUUCGUGGGCCAGAGGGUAGUGACGGAUGCUUAGUGUUGUACGGGGUUAUUGGAUUCCCUGUGCAGCUGCGGUGUCCCAGGAAAUAGCUCCCUCAUUAGACCGUACCCGAAACCGACACAGGUGGACUGGUAGAGUAUACCAAGGCGCUUGAGAGAACUAUGCUGAAGGAACUCGGCAAAUUACCUCCGUAACUUCGGGAUAAGGAGGCCCAUGUGCUGCGCAAGCAGUAUGUGGGGGCACAGACCAGGGGGUGGCGACUGUUUACCUAAAACACAGGGCUCUGCGAAGUCUAAAGACGACGUAUAGGGUCUGACGCCUGCCCGGUGCCGGAAGGUUAAGAGGAGGGGUGCAAGCUCUGAAUCGAAGCCCCGGUAAACGGCGGCCGUAACUAUAACGGUCCUAAGGUAGCGAAAUUCCUUGUCGGGUAAGUUCCGACCUGCACGAAUGGCGUAACGACUUCCCCGCUGUCUCCAGCAUAGACUCAGUGAAAUUGAACUCCCCGUGAAGAUGCGGGGUUCCCGCGGUCAGACGGAAAGACCCCAUGAACCUUUACUGUAGCUUUGCACUGGCAUUCGUGUUGGCAUGUGUAGGAUAGGUGGCAGGCUUUGAAGCGAGGGCGCCAGCUCUCGUGGAGCCAUCCUUGAAAUACCACCCUUGUAGAUAUGGAUGUCUAACCGCGAUCCUUCAUCGGGAUCCGGGACAGUGCAUGGUGGGCAGUUUGACUGGGGCGGUCGCCUCCCAAAGAGUAACG